rnacentral:rRNA from 1 species
CCUACGGGAGACAGCAGUGAGGAAUAUUGGUCAAUGGGCGGAAGCCUGAACCAGCCAAGUCGCGUGAGGGAUUAAGGCCCUGCGGGUCGUAAACCUCUUUUGCCGGGGAGCAGAGGGCCGGACGUGUCCGGGCCGGGAGAGUACCCGGAGAAAAAGCAUCGGCUACCUCCGUGCCAGCAGCCGCGGUAAUACGGAGGAUGCGAGCGUUAUCCGGAUUUAUUGGGUUGAAAGGGUGCGUAGGCGGGCAUUUAAGCCGGCGGUCAAAUGUCGGGGCUCAACCCCGGCCUGCCGUCGGAACUGGGUGCCUUGAGUGGGCGAGAAGUAUGCGGCAUGCGUGGUGUAGCGGUGGAAUGCAUAGAUAUCACGCAGAACCCCGAUUGCGAAGGCAGCAUACCGGCGCCCUACUGACGCUGCGGCACGAAAGUGCGGGUAUCGAACAGGAUUAGAUACCCGGGUAGUC